rnacentral:rRNA from 1 species
CAGUAGCCACGGUAACACGUAGGGUGCAAGCGUUGUCCGGAAUUAUUGGGCGUAAAGAGCUCGUAGGCGGUUUGUCGCGUCUGCUGUGAAAACUGGAGGCUCAACCUCCAGCCUGCAGUGGGUACGGGCAGACUAGAGUGCGGUAGGGGAGAUUGGAAUUCCUGGUGUAGCGGUGGAAUGCGCAGAUAUCAGGAGGAACACCGAUGGCGAAGGCAGAUCUCUGGGCCGUAACUGACGCUGAGGAGCGAAAGCGUGGGGAGCGAACAGGAUUAGAUACCCGUGUAGUCCCUGUCUCUUAUAC